GAGCUGCUGUCUCUCCUGACUCUCCCGGGUUAGUGGCUUGACGUUGGGGGGCCUAUCCGUUUUAUCCCUGUCCCUCCUGCUUCCCAUUGUCCGGCCAACAAAAGCGGGAAUGAUCGAGGGCAGCGUAAAAAAUAAAGGCGGCAGAGAAGGUCUUCCGGCAACCCCGAGAGGUUGCUAGUUUGAUCCCAGGCACCGCGGACCCAAGUGUCCAGGCGUCCCUGGGCAUGACACCUAACCCCGACUGCUCCCGACGAGAUGGCUGCUGCUGUUGACCAGGUGUGUGAUUGGGAAGAGCAAAUUGUGUGGCCUCAGUUCAGAGAAGUUUAAAUGCAGUCUAUACUCAUUUCUUCCCUGCAUCUUUGCUUGAAAGACGCACAUCGGUUCUGGCAAUACCUGACUGCACCGUGGUCAACCCAGAGGGUAGUUAGGGUAGGCAUUCCGUCCGUCCAUCAAACAAUUCAGCCCACACCCCUAUACGGAGCCGUCCUGUCUUGUACUCACCCCGUUAAUAAUAAUAAUGAUACAUUUUAUUUGUAGAGCAAUUUACAUUUGAAAAUCUCAAAGUGCUAGUUUAAGAGAGAGAAAAGGGUUGUUAAAACAUAUACGUAUACAGUAAAAGAGAAAGUAGCAAAAGGCUUUAAAAAAAAAUAAAUAAAAAAGUCUUAAGGUUGUAUUCUGUGGGGCCUUCAGUACAGUACAGUACUUCAGUACAGGUUGUCAGGGAGGGCGUUCCAUAGUCUGACCAGACCGUUCUGGUCUGGUAGAAGGAACUGAUUUGGUUCCAUUGGUGGCUUCAGAAGAUGUCAUCUAGCUACCCCUCCGCCACAGGGCUUUGUAUGAACAAAAACAGGUUUCACAUCUUUCCACUAAAACUGAUAAAUAGGGGAGCACUUUCAACUAUAGGUGGAUGGAAAAGGGGUCUGUGGACUUGUAUGUCAAUGACCUAGAGCCGCAGUCUGCUCAAAUACUGGAUCCACUUUUUUAUUUUGCCCGUAAUAGAAACCGGCCAUUGCAUUUGCUUUGUCGUUACUAAUUGCUUAUGUUGUUGAAAGGCGUGGCAAUGAUUAGGAAUGCUUUUAGCUGCUUUGUGUUUAACAAUGGAUGAAUCCGAUGAUUACAUUGGUGAAUCUAAAUGUACAGAGCUGGGGAAAUUGAAACAAUUAACAGACAAAAUAUCAAAUGAGUUAGAAUACAGUUUGAAUUAAAAAUCGAAUGGGAUAGUAUGAUUCUACUACGUUUCGUUACAUCAAAACAAAAGCGUCCAUUUAGGAUGCAGUGCCUUACAUUAUGUUCAUUCAAAAAAGUAAUUCAAGUGCAAACAACUUCAAAACAUCAGCAAAGCAACUGCUUUUAAGUGCUACGAUAUAAAAAGAGAUUGAAGAAAAUUAGAAAGCAAAUCAUUUGAUUAAAUUAAAUACUAUAAGGCAGUACUUUUGGAAUCAUUUCGCCACAAUUCAUGUCAACAUUAAUUGUACACUAUUUAAUGCAUUCUUAGAUCCUAAUAUUGUUUCCUCAUCAAUGUAGACUUCACACAGUUUGAGGUAUUUCUAAAACAAGGUCAAGAACUGAAUUACUGAAAAAAAACAACCAUCACAAUCAAUAUAACCUAGAUUUUAUUUUGCAACCCCUUGUAAUAUUCAUGAACUUCAUGAGGUUUGUCCCUUUUGAUUCAGGCCACAUGAAGCAACCACAAACACGCUAUUUCCGCCACAAGAACAGCUAUCAUAGUAUUCAAUGUUAUGUUUCUAUGCAUCCAAAGGAUAAUAAAUACGCUGUAUUUGCAUUCAUUUAUUACAUUAUAAGGCAAACCAGGAAUGGGAAUAAAGCUUUUCAAAUAAAACGUCUUCUCUCCACCUUUAAAGAUAUAAGUAUUUCUCAGUAUUUAUAACAUUACUUGACAUUCUACAAAGUUUUAAAAACACACGCAAUCCAUCGGCAUUGACAAAUAUUAAAUAUUCCAAUUCGAAAGCAAUCUGUCUGAUUCUAACUUACUUGGCAAUACACAGUAAGGUAUUACAAAUAUCUAAGUACAACCCCGUGAAUGUGGGGAUUCUACAUGCAGUUAUUAUUUCGUCCACAUCAAACCCUUAUUAGACUAGAGAUCAGGUCUCUGUUAUUUUCAUACAGGAAAAGGAAUGCAGUAAAAUGGCACAAAGGUUGAGAGAUUCAAAUUAGGCAGCAGCAUGAGCAGGAACAUCAAUUGGGGAAAA